rnacentral:rRNA from 1 species
UACGGGGGGGGCAAGCGUUGUUCGGAAUUACUGGGCGUAAAGGGCGCGUAGGCGGCCUUCUAAGUCAGACGUGAAAUCCCUCGGCUCAACCGAGGAACUGCGUCUGAUACUGGAAGGCUUGAAUCCGGGAGAGGGAUGUGGAAUUCCAGGUGUAGCGGUGAAAUGCGUAGAUAUCUGGAGGAACACCGGUGGCGAAGGCGGCAUCCUGGACCAUUACUGACACUGAAUAGCGAAAGCCAGGGGAGCAAACGGG